CCCACCUGGGGAUCUUGUCAAAAUGUAGAUUCUGAUUCAGCAGGUCUGAGGUAGGGGCCAAGGUUCUACACUUCUAACAAGCUCCCACGUGAUGAUGC
rnacentral:pre_miRNA from 1 species